CAGCUAAAGCAUGGUCCAAUCCGGUCUUAUCCCUAAUUCCAGUGUUGAGCCUGCCUUGCAGUCCAUAAGAAGCGGGGUGUGAAUCGUGCGCCAUCCUCGUCCCUACCUCAUCAUGCAGCAGACAUGCAGAAGCACCAGGGAGAUGAGGGACUUCAUCCCUGAAGUGUCAGAAAAUUCUCCAUUAGAGAACAGUGGGAGAAGUGAGAACCUUCAUUAACGCUGUCAACAACUUAGGCCAAGAGAAGGGAAGGCCCUUCCAAGCCUGAAUCUAUGAGAAAGAUCCACCAUGAGAGGAAUCGAUUCCUGCUGCACCAGUGAUAACGAGAGAGGAGAUAUGACGCUGACUGACUCCUUCUGUGGCUGUUUCCCUGUGGCUCACCUCAGAGGCAAGCACGUCGCACAUAUGCGUGGAGAUGAUACGAUCUUAACUUGGGCAGAAGAUAGAGCAUUGCUGCUAUUAGGAAAGCUUUGUUCUUGCCCUUUCCACAACAUUAGCCCCUGCCAUUAUUAUUGUGCCGAGAAGCAUUUGGCUUUUUUUCUUGAGCCUGCUAUUGUAUGACAUUGCAAGAACCACA
rnacentral:lncRNA from 1 species